rnacentral:rRNA from 1 species
AGCAGCAGCCACGGGAAUACGGAGGGGGCUAGCGUUGUUCGGAAUUACUGGGCGUAAAGCGCGCGUAGGCGGCUUGGUAAGUUAGAGGUGAAAGCCUGGGGCUCAACCCCAGAAUUGCCUUUAAGACUGCCGAGCUAGUAGGUGAGAGAGGUAAGUGGAAUUCCGAGUGUAGGGGUGAAAUUCGUAGAUAUUCGGAAGAACACCAGUGGCGAAGGCGGCUUACUGGCUCAUUCUAGACGCUGAGGUGCGAAAGCGUGGGGAGCAAACAGGAUUAGAUACCCGCGUAGUCCCUGUCUCUUAUAC